rnacentral:lncRNA from 1 species
AUCAUACUUAAUUAUAUUUUUAUACAUGAUUUUGAUAUUUUAAUCAUACUUAACUAUGAUAUUUUUUAUACAUAAAUAUGAUAAUUUUAUCAUACUAUACUAUGAUAUUUUCAACAAAUUUAACAUUUUUAACAUACUAUAAUUGAAAUUUUUUUUAAAUUAACUAUUGUAUUUUUAACAUAAUACACUCCGACAUUUUUUAUCAUACUAUACUGCGACUUUUUUAAUUUUCCUAUACUGUAAUAUUUUCAUUAUACUACAUUAUUUCUUUCUCAUGUUAUACUAUGACAUCUGUAACAUACUUUUCUAUUAUAUAUUUAUGAACCUAUACUAUGACAUUUUUUUCACCGAGGUGGCGAUGUGACACGGCUUGGGCCCGUUGGUGCACUGCGGGGCGCUAGUUACCCUUAUCCACAGACUAACUUCAGGUUAUCCCUUGCAUAACCCAUGCAUAAUGUUCAAAUUGGGAAUCUAAGUUUGUACCUGCUCAUUAAAAAAUAAAACAUUUGGGAAAAAAUGGAGAGGGCCCUGAACAAUGGCAGCAUGUCAGUAUAAAAAAGGUUUUUUUCUUGUAUUCCUGUUUCUAACUCCUGUCCUUGCCCUCUGUGAUAUAAAGCAUUUGUCUCUGUCACACACUGGUGCCUUGUUUUGUUGCAGGUUUGUGUAACCUCCUGGAGGUCAUAUGUUUCAAGAGAUGAGACAUCAAAAUAUUUCAUAAAGAGAAGACUGCUGCUCGGACAGAGGUAAUCCAUCACACAUGCAGGUUGUAUUCAGAUUAAGGAGCUGGGGAAUGAUACUGUUGCAGUAUUAAUUUAUGACCCCAGAGAGGUGACCUAUGUGUAUCUACAGUAUAUGAGUGCUGGGAACCCAUCCACAGAAGCUACUAGUAUUAAGUCUUUAGUGUGUGUGUGUGUGUGUGUGUGUGUGUGUGUGUGUGUGUGUGUGUGUGUGUGUGUGUGUGUGUGUGUGUGUGUGUGUGUCAGGCUUUGAAGUCCAUCCAUGGUGGAUCAAAAUAACUUUCAGAACGCAGACACACAGCUGAUGAAACAAACUAUGUGAUUCUGUGUGUGUGUGUGUGUGUGUAUGUGUGUGUGUGUGUGUGUGUGUGUGUGUGUAUUAUGGAUGCGAUUUAAGGAUACAUUCUGAAGAUCCUCCUACUUCCUGGAACAUCGUGUAACUUCAUUACCAUUCUCUCAUUAGGGACUCAUUUAGACCAAUCAGAUUGCUCUGUAAUUUAAUCACUGCAUAUAAAUAAUGAGAGGGAUCCAUAAUUACUGCAAACAUCCAACCAAUUAGAAAAAGGACAAAGCACCUGCUGUUUCCUUGCACACUCUUAUGGAUUUACAUAACAUUAUAGACGGCCUUCACCUCCUCAAUGAGCCGAUUCAGGUUAAAAAUAAGGAAAAGUGACUGCUGUUAAGUUGUGUAUGCGUGCAUGUAUGUAUGUGUAGGAGUGAGUUUAUGCCAAAUUGUGACUGUGUGUGUGGCCAGUUUUUACCUCCUCAUAAAUAACCAGCUCCUGUAAAGUGAGAGCUACACAGGGACGGUCAUCUUGACCCAGUGGAGUCUCAGCAUACACAGCUGGGUUGUGAAAGGAGCUGGGAACUACUUUGACUUGGCACUGAUUUUUAUGUCCCACAAAGUUUAUUUGUGUUCUCUAAGUUAUGGGAAAGUAUAGGAGACUGGAUAGUGAGGGUUUUCAGAUUAUGGAUUAUUAUCUUUUUGCCUUUUUCGUUUGAUUUAAUAGCUGACAGAAACUUCUCACGUAUUCCAGAAAAGGAGAGGAAGGCAGAGGUGAUUGUGAGGAAAGAAAACAGGAUUUGGCAGAGGUUUGUUUGAGGAGGCAGGGAUCUGCUGUUAGUGAGGGACCAUGAGUUGGCUUAAGAGAAAUUUGAGAGGUAAAUGAAAAUGGUCAAAGGGAGGAGGGAAGACGGAAAGCUAAGAAUGGGGAAAAGAAGAGCUACAGAGAUGCAAAGAAAAUUAAAGCCUCUGUAAGGAACGUUUGGUUUGUAUCAAUUUUUGUGUCCCCUGUGAACAAAGUAGUCUUUGCUUAUUUGUCCUUGACAUGCUUGGUUAGUGUCUUUCGUUAAUUUACCUCUUCCUGUUGACAGACAAAUAAAUUAUUUAGCAUGGAUAUUUUUUGUGAAAAUUGUAAAAACGGCUGUUUCUUCAGUUUCACAUAGGAAUUUUGUAUUAUAAACAACAAUGGAAAAAUCUUUUAUCUUUUCCCUGAAUGUCUUUGUUUUUGUUUUUGGGUCUCAUGAAAAGGGUCAACAUUAAUGUCAUGAAGGUAAAAAAACAAAACAAAAACAGGAGCUCACGGGAGCUUUAAGGAAGUAGAAACAUAAACUUAAAGCACUUGUCAAAUUUAUUUGCAAAGGUUUUACCUGAGAAACAAAGAGUCUGAAUCAGAAGACAAUGCAUCCUCAGAUGGCAGAGUAAAUUAACCCUAAGAGUGUUACUCAUCAGUUUCAUACAAAUCACAUAGCUCCUGCAUCUUUAGAGAUGAUAGUGGGGGUAAAUCAAGAUAUAAUUAUUCUGAGUGCAUGUGGGAAGUAUUUGUUAAAAGGUGACUAUAAUUCCCUUGAAAUGAUAUUAAGGUUUAGCCAAAGCCACCUAAAGACACUGAAAUCAAGUGGUACAUACCUAUCAUUUUAAAUCACUGACAUUUUCUUAGGUAUUGUUAAUAAAUUGUACAUUUGUACAAGAAAAGCAAUAGUUUGUUUUCACUCACAUGACCUCUUACACAGCAGUGAAAUUAGUCCACUUUUUCAAUGGCUAAUGUUCAAUUGUAAAGGUAAUUGAUAUUUGCAGUUAAAGAAAAAAAAGAGAUUUCAUAUGCGCUACGCCCACACUGAAAUACUGUGUACAUGGAUGACAUUAAAGUGUGAAGAUAAAGCAAGCUUUAGCAGCCGUGCACUGUGUUAAAAAAUAAUCUCUAACGUGCCAAAAUGACACAUCCCCUCAGAAUUCAAACCCUCUGCCAACAAGCUGAAUUUAUUUAUUACUCAGACAGCAGCUUAAUACCAGAUAGUCCUGGAGAUUCAUUUUCUCUGUCAAGGAUAGUUUGAUUGCUGCAUAAAUUUAAACAUGAGAAAAACAACACAAGAGUUGUAAAUCAUGAGGAGAUUAAAGUGGAAAGAGUGGAUGGGAAUGUUCCUACUUCACCGUGUCUCCAUCAAUACCCCCUUUCUUCUUAUCUUCUCUACGGCUUAAACACAGAAAUAAACACAUAGCCUUUGCGGCAUAUGAUGAAAUGUUGAUGGAGAUUCAAGUGCACAGAGUUGAAAUCCAGUCAAACAGUAAAUAUUCCCUCUGCCUGUUUGACUUAUGACCUGUGUGAACUUAUCUUCAAUUUGUCUUCUCUUCCUCAGCUGGAACAACAACCCUUGCUGAAUAUGUGUGUGAGAAAGAGUGUAUUCUGCUCUUUUGUACGUGCAAGUAUCCACAUGAAGAACCUAAUGGGAAUUGAGUUGAUGUUUUGAUUUUUUUUUUUUUUACAUUUUGUUUCUAGAAAAGGAGAAAAAGGUAUGUUUGGUCUGUGUCAUGGUGGUUUGAUGUUGGUUGAAGAAAUGUACAUUUUCUUGAAGCAACUACCGGUUUGUGAUAUGGUUCAUGUUUUUACAUUAUCAACUUGAUGAAAAACAGACAAGCAGCACUGUCAUAGUGUUAAAGGUUGUCAAUUUUUUUUUUCAUACAACAUAUUUUUAUCAUACUAAACUAUGACAUUCUUAUCAUACUAUACUAUGAUAUUUUUUAUCACACUUUAUUUUUAACAAACCAUACAAUGACAAUUUUGUCAUACUAUAGUAUGACAUUUUUAUCAUAAUAUACUCUGGUAUUUUUUCAUACUUUGCUAUGAUUUUUUUUACUACGAUACUAUGACAUUAUUUUCAGUCUAUAAUAUAAUUUCAUUGAACUAUACUAUGACAUUUUUAUCAUACUAUAGUAUGACAUUAUUAACGUUCUAU